rnacentral:rRNA from 1 species
AACGAACGCUGGCGGCAUGCCUAACACAUGCCAGUCGAACGAGACCUUCGGGUCUAGUGGCGCACGGGUGCGUAACGUGUGGGAACCUGCCCUUAGGUUCGGAAUAACUCCCCGAAAGGGGUGCUAAUACCGGAUAAUGUCUUCGGACCAAAGAUUUAUCGCCUUUGGAUGGGCCCGCGUUGGAUUAGCUAGUUGGUAGGGUAAAAGCCUACCAAGGCGACGAUCCAUAGCUGGUCUGAGAGGAUGAUCAGCCACACUGGGACUGAGACACGGCCCAGACUCCUACGGGAGGCAGCAGUGGGGAAUAUUGGACAAUGGGCGAAAGCCUGAUCCAGCAAUGCCGCGUGAGUGAUGAAGGCCUUAGGGUUGUAAAGCUCUUUUACCCGGGAUGAUAAUGACAGUACCGGGAGAAUAAGCUCCGGCUAACUCCGUG